CAUGAAGAGGUGCAUGCAGCGUGGUCCUGCCCUCACUGCAACCCCCUUCCCUCUGGGUACCAGACAGAAUUCGAUGCACUUUCCUGGAGGCUCCA
rnacentral:pre_miRNA from 10 species